ACAGCCCCUCGUCGUCUGCUCCCCGGAUGGCCGACCCGGCCAGCGUGGGCCCCUGUGAGGUGCACCCGGGCCAGCCAGGCCAUGGCAUCUGCCUGCUGGGGGCUGUUUUACUGCUGCAGGGCAGAAGUUGGCAUCUCAGCUCUGCCACUUUCUAACUCUCCCACCUUGAGCUGCUGCUUUCCACCAGCCUGUUUCCUCCUUGGGAACGUGGAGUGGUGACCCCACUUCACGGGUGUUCCCAGAGCCCACGCACGGUGGGGCAGCAGACAGGAGAUCCCAUCUUGGAAAAGGAAAGAGAGCAGUCAGAGGGAAGUCCCUUGUCCCCAGCAUAGCGGGGGCCACGGCCACUGCAGGGUCAUCUGUCCAGAGCUGCCUAGAGCGUCCCAGAGAGAAGAACCUCCUCCCCUGUGGUACUCACCAGCUGGGUGGAGAACCAGAGUCCCUGCUAGCCUACUGGGCUUUAAAAAAAAGCAGGGGCGGCUGGGAACAGUGGCUCAUGCCUGUAAGCUGAGCACUUUGGGAGGCCGAGGGCGGAUCACAAGGUCAGGAGACUAAGACCAUCUUGGUUAAUACGGUGAAACCCUGUCUCUACUAAAAAUACAAAAAAUUAGCCGGGCGUGGUGUCGGAUGCCUGUAAUCUCAGCUACUCAGGAGGCUGAGGCAGGAGAAUCGCUUGAACCUGGGAAGCAGAGGUUGCAGUGAGCCGAGAUUGCACCACUGCACUCCAGCCUGGCGACAGAGUGAGACUCCAUCUCAAAACAAACAAAUCAACCCACAAAAAGCGGGGACUUCUUGCUGAACCCCCUUCCAAAAGAAAACUGAGCGAGGGUCUCUAUUGAGACAGCAUCUGAAGCCGGCCCGCAGCCACAGCGUCCACGUGCUCGUAACUGCACCAGGAACUGCCAGCCGCGGUGAGUGGGGGACCCCGUCCCGGCUGGAUCCGUGUGGCCCGGGUCCCAGUUCCUCUCUCUCCUGUGGGGGCACCACCUCCCGCCUCGAGCAGACCCAGGCAGGGGGCCGGCCCCCGAAAAUGGUGAGCUAAAGCCUGCAGGGACCAGGGAGGCAGCGGUCACCUCGCCACCUGCCCCCAACGUGAACACCCAGCAGGCGUGUUCUUUUCUUUUUUCAGUUAUAUGGAAAGUAAAUCUUCAAUUUCCUGCGUUAAGCAUAUAAAUAAACUCUUUUUUCUCUUUAA